rnacentral:snRNA from 1 species
ACCCUUGUGCACGGACAAGACCAGAAGCAGUGAAGAUUAGUCUGAGCUCUGAUUUUUGCUAGUUGAAAACUCCAACUACAUUGACACUCCCGGCCUACCCCCCCCUCUGGGUCGGGAAAUUUUUAGAAAUUAUUGCGAUGU